AUAAUACUCCUUCCGUCCAACAAAAGAUGUCUCAAGUUUGUCAAAAUUUGGAUGUAUCUAGACAUGACUUAGUGUAUAGAUGCAUUCAAAUUUAGUCAAAGUUGAGACAUCCUUUAUUGGACGGAGGGAGUAGUUG
rnacentral:pre_miRNA from 1 species